rnacentral:rRNA from 1 species
CCUACGGGAGGCAGCAGUGAGGAAUAUUGGUCAAUGGACGAGAGUCUGAACCAGCCAAGUAGCGUGAAGGAUGACUGCCCUAUGGGUUGUAAACUUCUUUUAUAUGGGAAUAAAAUGUUCCACGUGUGGGAUUUUGUAUGUACCAUAUGAAUAAGGAUCGGCUAACUCCGGGCCAGCAGCCGCGGUAAUACGGAGGAUCCGAGCGUUAUCCGGAUUUAUUGGGUUUAAAGGGUGCGUAGGUGGAUUGUUAAGUCAGUUGUGAAAGUUUGCGGCUCAACCGUAAAAUUGCAGUUGAAACUGGCAGUCUUGAGUGCAGUAGAGGUGGGCGGAAUUCGUGGUGUAGCGGUGAAAUGCUUAGAUAUCACGAAGAACUCCGAUUGCGAAGGCAGUUCACUGGACUGCAACUGACACUGAGGCUCGAAAGUGUGGGUAUCAAACAGGAUUAGAUACCCGUGUAGUC